CUGUCCUUGCAGUCCUUUCCCAGGUUGCUGCAGCUUCUUGACAAGCACAGCCCUGUGUUGUUAUGCACAGAAAAAACACUGCUGGUGACUUCUCCUCCCACUCAGUGUGUCCCCAUCCAGGGCCCCACAUCUCUCAGUCUCAACAGCAGAGCAGGAGCAGCAGACAUGCUGCUGCUGGCAGCUCUGAUGGUUGCAACUGCCUGGUCCUAUGGACAUGCACAGGAAACUCCCAUACAGAGCCCUGUAUCCAUCACCAUAUCACAAGGAAAUGCAGAUCUGAAGUGUCAUUUUAAGGACUUCUCUGGACAUUUUGAUAGCACCGUCAUACACUGGUAUCAACAGAAGAAGAAUAAAGGUCCAGUCAGGAUGAUCUACUUUUCAUCAGGGACAGUAGUAGCAGAUGAGAGUUUCCAAAGGCACAGAUACAGGAUUCAAACUAUUUCUGGACAGAAUCUUUGCAUUCUUACCAUAAGAAGUGUAAUUCCAGAUGAUGCUGCCACGUACUACUGUGCCUACUGGGACCCUCACAGUGGCAGAUGCCAAACAAUCACCACAACAAAUACUUCCUCAGCAGCUCAACCACAGAUCAUUUGGAACGACCAGGUGCCAAGCAGAUUUCUGCUCUGUGGGCAGAAGAAUAGCAAUGGACUGAGACACAGUUCAUCUGUCCUGGUAGAUGUUGGCCACAGGGUUUAGUCUCAUGUUCUCUCCAUACGGUGCCUAACACAAAUGUGGCUGUAACUGACUGAGGUUGCCCACACAGCAGAUGCAAGGAGUGACUGUGUGCGUGCAUCUCUCUCCCUUCUCCUUCAAAUCUGUUCCAUCCUUCUCUCCUUCUUGCUCAUGCACUGAAGCCACCUACC